GGCCAAUGAUGGAUAAUUACAAUUGUCCGUACCAUCUGAGCAUGCUUCUUCUAAGAGGCUGCCGUGACUCUGUUUAUAUCUUCUGAGGCCU